UACGUAGGGGGGCAAGCGUUGUCCGGAUUUAUUGGGCGUAAAGAGCGUGUAGGCGGCCAGACAGGUCCGUUGUGAAAACUCGAGGCUCAACCUCGAGAUGUCGAUGGAAACCGUCUGGCUAGAGUCCGGAAGAGGAGUGUGGAAUUCCUGGUGUAGCGGUGAAAUGCGCAGAUAUCAGGAAGAACACCUAUGGCGAAGGCAGCACUCUGGGACGGUACUGACGCUGAGGCGCGAAAGCGUGGGGAGCAAACAGG
rnacentral:rRNA from 1 species